rnacentral:ncRNA from 1 species
AAGGAUAGAGGUGCAAUAUUAAAUAGUACUCUUACAGAGGUAAGCACUAUGAAGUAAGAGAAAAGGUAAUAUUGCCGAAGUGUACAGUUAAGGCUUUAAGAUUGUAUGCUGGGACUACAUAGAAUAUAUGUAGGACUGUCACAAAUUAUUUUGUGGAGAGCUAUCA